rnacentral:rRNA from 1 species
UACAGGGGGUGCAAACGUUGCUCGGAAUCAUUGGGCGUAAAGCGCCCGUAGGCGGUCUGUUAUGUCGGAUGUGAAAGCCCUCGGCUCAACUGAGGAAGUGCAUCCGAAACUGGCAGGCUAGAGUACUAAAGAGGGUCGCGGAAUUCCCGGUGUAGAGGUGAAAUUCGUAGAUAUCGGGAGGAACACCGGUGGCGAAGGCGGCGACCUGGGUAGAUACUGACGCUGAGGUGCGAAAGCGUGGGGAGCAAACAGG